UAAUAGGAAAAUGGGUUUGUUAAUCUUAUCCUAUGUUCUAUCACAAAGUAGGAGUAGGAGGUGGCACGAUGAAGCCCCUCUAGCCUCUAGGGUAGCCUCAAGAGAAAGAAGAGAGAUGUAAAAGCAAAAUAAGAUUGUAGAGUUUUGGAUUGUGGGAGAGAGAGAAAGAGAACAUGAGCGAGAAAGAGGAAAAAUCACAGAAAAUUAUGGGAGAGGGAGAGACUCAUGAG
rnacentral:lncRNA from 1 species